UCUCCGUUGGUGAACCAGCGGAGGGAUCAUUAUAGAGUUUUUAACUCCCAAACCCAUGUGAACCUACUAUUUUGUUGCCUCGGCGGGUCGGGCUGAUGCUUGGGAUGGCUACUCUGUAGCUACCCUGCAGAGGCCGCCGCCGGUGGGAAUUUAAACUAUUGCCAUGUAUUGUCAUCUGAGAGUCUUAUGAGAAUAAGUCAAAACCUUUAACAACGGAUCUCUUGGUUCUGGCAUCGAUGAAGAACGCAGC
rnacentral:misc_RNA from 1 species